rnacentral:rRNA from 1 species
CAGGCUCGCGCUUGAAUACAUUAGCAUGGAAUAAUGAAAUAGGACGUUCGAUCCUAUUUUGUUGGUUUCUAGGAUUGACGUAAUGAUUAAUAGGGAUAGUUGGGGGCAUUAGUAUCAAUUGUCAGAGGUGAAAUUCUUGGAUUUAUUGAAGACUAACUACUGCGAAAAGCAUUUGCCAAGGAUGUUUUCAUUAAUCAAGAACGAAAGUUAGGGGAUCGAAGACGAUCAGAUACCGUCGUAGUCUUAACCAUAAACUAUGCCGACUAGGGAUCGGAUGAUGUUAAUUUUUUAAUGACUCAUUCGGCACCUUACG